GACGAACGCUGGCGGCGUGCUUAACACAUGCAAGUCGAGCGGUAAGGCCCUUUCGGGGGUACACGAGCGGCGAACGGUGAGUAACACGUGGGUGACCUGCCCUCAGCUCUGGGAUAAGCCUGGGAAACCGGGUCUAAUACUGGAUAUGACUCCAUGACGCAUGUUGUGGGGUGGAAAGCCUUGUGCGGCUGAGGAUGGGCCCGCGGCCUAUCAGCUUGUUGGUGGGGUGANGGCCCUACCAAGGCGACGACGGGUAGCCGGCCUGAGAGGGCGACCGGCCACACUGGGACUGAGACACGGCCCAGACUCCUACGGGAGGCAGCAGUGGGGAAUCUUGCGCAAUGGGCGAAAGCCUGACGCAGCGACGCCGCGUGAGGGAUGACGGCCU
rnacentral:rRNA from 1 species